UUUUUAUUAUUUAUUAGAAUUUUUUGGAAUUUGUUUGAUUUUUUGGAAUUUUUUUGAUUUUUUGGAAUUUACUAUUUUUUUUUAAUGUUUUAGAGUUUACACUUAAGUCCCUGUGUUUCUAAAACUGACGCAAACCGUCCCUGAAUUAGUUAGUUAACUCAAAGUUAACAAAAUAAAUGGAUGGAGUUAAGUUAGUAGACUGAAAUGGUUACGAAAAUGAAACUAAUGGACUGAAAUGACAAUUUUUAAACUAAUGGACUGAAACCGUUAUUUUUGACAAACCUCAGGGACGAAAACAGUAAUUAACUCUUAAUGAAAUUUGCCUUCAAAAAAAAAAAAGAGAUAAACACACCUUUAGAAAAUAAGAUGUAGUUUAUGAGGAAUGGACAAAAUAUACAACAAAAUGAAAAGUUAUAUGACAGAUAAAUUUAUUGGAAAUUAUUUAAUGAUAUGGCCUCUUUUGAUACAUUAACAAACUACAACAAAAAAUAUAAAGCAAGCAUGUUCCUUUAAACCAAAUUAAAACAUGUCCAGCCAUGAGAAUAUCCUUACAAUUUUGAAAAGACAAAUAACAAUAUAAGCAUUGUCAUCAGAAGUUGAUACACAAACAUAUAAAAUUAGGUUUUUCCAUGCAAAGCUAAAAACAAACUCCAACAGACCCUAAAUGCAUCAAUUGUAAACCAUGUAUUUAGGAGUAGCACUGAACUUCUGGUAGCCCUUGAUCACCUUGUUCACUGCAUCAAGAAAGUCUUUCUCUGUCACCGUCUUCCUGCGUGCUCUGAUUGCAUACAUUCCCGCCUCUGUGCACACACUUCUAAUAUCCGCACCUGCAUAUUCCAAAAUAAUGUUACUUCUAAACUUUAUGACCAUUUAAUGUAUAGUUUUUUUACAAGAACACUAGAUGAGGUAAAGUCAAUGGCGUUCUUAUGGAUCAAAAAUCGGUCUAAGGCGGUCUCGUUAACAUGGGAGGAUUGGAGCCGGUUUAAUUUAGCGGCUAUGUAAUGUUGUAUUUGUUUUAAUUUGGUGUAAUCGUUGUACUUUUGGGUUGUAGCAUCUUGCUACUAUGAAUAAAAUCUUUUGUCGGCCGUUCAAAAAAAAAUUUAAUGUAUAGUUUUGAACAAAUAUGAUUGAUAAAGGGAUGUUACCAGUAGAAUUAGGGCAAAGGCGCGCCAAAAGUUCAUAACGAAUAUCCCUUUCGCAGUUCAUUGUUCGUGUAUGAAUCUUGAAUAUUUGCGUCCUGCUUUCCAUAUCAGGUAACCCGAACUCCACUUUUCUGUCUAAUCUUCCGGGUCGUAAUAGUGCAGGGUCCAGGGUAUCUGGUCUGGAAUUAUAACAAUUGAACAGGUGAUCGAAUCAGCAGUUGCAAUAUUUUAAAAUCAGUUGUUAUCAAAAGUGGAUAUAGAACAUGGGUAAACUGCAUGAAACCAACUCACAAUCUAUUACCAAUUUCUGUUGCAAACAUUACAUUUUUUCUGACCCUUUUUUUCGAGUUAAUUACUAUACAAUAAUAUUAUAAAAUGUCACAUAAGAUGCCACUCGAUAUUAUCGAAAUAUACACCAAAAUGACAAAGAAAAUGAAAAUUUAGCAAUUUAACAAAUUUUAAAAACUCAGCAAAAAAUAAAAAAUAAAAAGAUAAUUAGUUGCAGGUUGCACCAACCAACAAUAUUAUUUAACUUGGUUGCUAGAAUUGGCCAUAAAAUGAAGUUGGUUGACUUGGUUCCUAUUUUGCGCCUAAUUAUUAGUUAAUUACUAAAAUUCUGAAAAAGGUCUAAAGUUUGUUUCCAUUUCAUGCAGUUUACCAGUUUAUCUAAUAUAAUAUAAUAUAAACAUACCUAUUUGUUGCCAUUAGAACCUUGAUAUUACCACGAGCAUCGAAACCAUCAAGCUGAUUCACAAUCUCAAGCAUGGUACGUUGAACCUC
rnacentral:lncRNA from 1 species